AUUUUUUGCUGUGAUUUACCACUAGGUGGCAGCACAUUACUGGAAAGUCUUAAUAUAAUAUUGCUACCAACCCCUCUCUUGGCGUAGAAAGAGAGUCACCAUUUGCCCUGACUUAAGCAAAUCACAUACAGCAAUUGUUUUUGUAUGAAGUUUCCCACAAAAAGCUACCUUAGCAAACAAAUAUCAACUGGCAGGAACAGGUAGCAGUCUAAAAAAAUCUUAUUAUUCAAGGAUCAUUGAUUCAUUUUAAUCUUGAAGAGCUGUGUGCAGUGAUGGAAAGCUGCUCCAAUGUUAUUUUCUUCUGAACUGAGCAUGGUGUCGUUCUGGGAGAAUCUAGUGGUGACAACGGGGCCACCACUGGGACAGCAAACAGUCCCAUCAAAGGGACUGUUUGCUGCAAGAUUCACUGGUUGCUUCUCCAUAUUCUGUAGCUAUAGUUCAUGUUGAAAGUAAAACAGAUUAAUUUAUCAAGUUCUAACCAAUAAGAAAAGCUUGAGAUAUCUUCCUGUUUACUGCAGCUGCUCCACGGGAUGGUGGUGGAUACAUCGGUAGUCUUUCCCCACCGUCUGGGCCCCCCUCACAAACUGACCCUGAACAAGCUCACAGCUGAAUACCUCAGAAGGAUCAUUCAAGAGAGUGUUUGUGGUCAUGACACUGCAGAAGAUGCUACUGCCUGUAUGGAGCUGAUGCUGUGGAAAGUGAAAGAAGAUGGAAAAUUGAAAAAAUGAUGAAAAUAAAAUUAUUCCUGUACAAUUCAUAUGGGGGGAGGGGGAACAAAUACUAGCUGUGAUUCAAAUGUAUUUGUGUAAACCUCUUUCAGGACAUGGAGGGCAGUUUGGUUUGUUAAUGUGA